rnacentral:rRNA from 1 species
ACGCGAAAGCUCCCUUCGGGGAGCAAGUAGAGUGGCGCACGGGUGAGUAACACGUAGGUAAUCUACCUUUGGAUGGGGAAUAACAACCGGAAACGGUUGCUAAUACCGCAUAAUGCAGCGGCACCUAAUGGUGACAGUUGUUAAAGCGGGGGAUCGCAAGACCUCGCGUCUGAAGAGGAGCCUGCGGCAGAUUAGCUAGUUGGUAAGGUAACGGCUUACCAAGGCGAUGAUCUGUAGCCGGCCUGAGAGGGCGGUCGGCCACACUGACACUGACAUACGGGUCAGACUCCUACGGGAGGCAGCAGUCGGGAAUUUUGGGCAAUGGGCGAAAGCCUGACCCAGCAACGCCGCGUGAAGGAUGAAAUCCCUCGGGAUGUAAACUUCGCAAGAACGGGAAGAAUAAGUAAGAGUUAAUAUCUCUUACGAUGACGGUACUGUUUGUAAGCUCCGGCUAACUCCGUGCCAGCAGCCGCGGUAAUACGGGGGGAGCAAGCGUUG